CGCCGCCGUUUGACCCGGUGACGCACAUCCCCACACCGGGCUGGGUGGCUCGAGCAACACGGCUGUGAGUUCCCCGCGCCCAGGGCAGAACAUUCCUGCAGGGAGUAAGACCYGCUCUCCACUGGCAUUUUUCGCUUAUUUCAGCUAAAGAGCAGCAACAAAAACACUAAACAGAUACAUUUCCACAUCAUGAACACAUUUUGAUGUUCUUGGGAUAUCCACAAGGUGGCAUAUGAUCUCUUCUGUUUUGGUAUCUGCAGGACCUUGGGAAACAUUAAGUCAAGGAAGGAUUUAUUUAAGAACUAUUUGCCUGAAGUGUUGUUCCAUUUGGAAGAACCAUAUGUAGAUUCAAGGUGUAAUCACUAACAAGACUGUACUACAUGACAAUGCUGUGGACGCUGUCGUACUGCAGAAUUGUUGAUAAGCUUAUGGUAAUUUCAGAAAACCCUGGCCUCUACUCUUUUCAUUAUACUGGAUAAUAUGUGUGAAGCAAUAGCUGCUUGACGACUUACACAUGCAGUUCAGACAUUGCAGGGUUAACUGAAGUCAUAAAGCUUAUAGCAGCAUGUUCAGAAGUUUUCCUCAGCUUUGGAAUCACUUCUGUUCUCCCUAGUGCCUUUUUCCAACCUGUAUCUUCAACUAGCUCCAAGAAAUAGGAACAGCACAACUUUCAACUAGCUGAACUGCUUUCCAUACAUAGCACUAUGUAGAUAAUUUAUAGUUAACACUUGCAAUUCCCUGCAUUUUAAGUCUACACCUAGGCUUUCCUCCCAAAGAGCAUUUAAAAAGAUUUUGCAGCCUUCCCAAUUUGUCCUUCUCCCAAGAAUGGCUGACUAGGGGCCUCAGUUAAAUAAUAACUCUGUGAUCUAACUAGCCCUCUCAGGCAUUGCCAAUUUGAAUGUCAAAGUUGUUCAUCACACAGGUUAUUCCAGACACAAGUGACCCAAAUUAAAGUGAUGGUGUAACACACAUUUUUCUGUAGGCAUUAUAAAAGCAAUUCAAAGCCUUGAACACUGAGAUUUCCGAUCAACUACAAAAGGAAAGAUAUAUUACAACCUAAUUAAUGGUUUGACACAAUCUUCCUACUUUCUUGGUAGCACAAGUUUAACAUGUCCUGACAUCCUGGCCACCUUCUACCCCUAAACAUGGCUGAAUUAAUUUUGC